rnacentral:lncRNA from 1 species
CACAGAACUCACUGCUAAACUCGCCAUCGGUUUAUUAGCAGGAAGUGUACCGGUCAGGAUUUGAAAGUUGAGUGAAGAAGGGGAGAAAGAGCAGGCAAUGGUGGCAGGCGUUUCUCUGUGAGUUCAAUACCAGCUUGGUUUACACAGCCAGUUCCAGGACAGCCUCCAAAGCUACAGAGAAACCCUGUCUUCUUGAAAAACACCACCACCACCAAACAAAACAAACAAAGAAAAACACCAAAAAACAAAACUGGGGGAGAAAGGCAGUGGAGACUGAGAUUCCUUUCGGGCAGGUCUCAAACCUCAGUGGGAACGCGCAGGAUGCUUAGGACAGUGCAUGGCAAAUCUGAAUGCCGGAAUCCAGCCUCAGGCUGGUGGUCCAAACUUUGUAGAUGAAACCGUGAGAGUGGUAAGGUGGGGGUAUCCAAAUACAAGGGGCUGUAGGGAUCGAGGAAUUGUGAACAGGGAGGUGGCCAGAAAUUAAGGAGCCCCUGUAUUACAAAGCAGGUGAGACGUACAGAUGAUGGCUUGCUGUGGGUGGGCUGAGCCUCAACUCUGGCUCUGCUUACUACCUCAGAUUCCCUGACUAACCAGUUCCCUCUACCCAGUGUCAGUUUAUACCGUCUUAUAUUUUGGCUAGAUCAAGUUAAAUACAAAUCAUUUUGACCUUCUUGGUCAAUAGGCAUGUAGUCCUGCUGGGUAGGCAGGCUGUCUCUGGGUAACACCCAAGUCCUUUAAGUUCAAUCCAGGCCAUUGAAACUCACUCUGGACAUCUUGAGCAAGAAAAGUAGUGCAAGGGAUAUUUCUGAAAGGCUUUUUUUUCCCCCCCAGAAACUGGUGCAGGAGACCACAGAGGAAAGGGCACGAAGAGACUUAGGACCAAUCUUUUUCCAGACGGUGGAGUGCUGCCCAGUCCGGGCAACCAUCUGCUGUUGAACCCUGGGAAAGGGCAGGCUGGGGCUCCCGAGUCCCUCGGUGGGCUCCUCCCCAUGCCCUCAUCUGUUUUAGGCGGUGGUAAGAAAGCUCCUGAGACGGGUGGAGUAGCCCGUACAAAACACAAAAUUAUUAUUAUUUUUCCCGUUUCUGGAGCCAUUCCCUGGGGGGGUGGGGGGGUGGGAAGAUGCCCUGACAUCACAGCCUUCUGCCUCCUCCGUCUGUCUCACCACGCCCCAGGCUCUGCCCUCUUUGGCUUCUCUCCCCGCUCUCCUGCGGCUCGAUUCCUCGUCUCCCCUUUCUUCUUCCUCCCUCCGGCUCCCCCGCGAUCUUUGGCCGGGAAGCGGGCCAGCAACGCCGCGGCAGCGGCAUCGUCGGCACGCCCGCGGAAGGUGGGCGGGGAGGAAAAAAAAAACAGCUUUGCGCGCGCGCGCGCGAUUUCUGUGCGCGCGAAAAAAGACGCCCGG